UACGGGGGGAACAAGCGUUGUUCGGAAUUACUGGGUUUAAAGCGCGUGUAGGCGGGGAGGCAAGUCUGUUCGUGAAAUCCCCCGGCUUAACCGGGGAACUGCGUCGGAAACUGCCUUUCUAGAGUACGGAAGAGGAAAGUGGAAUUCCAGGUGUAGCGGUGAAAUGCGUAGAUAUCUGGAAGAACACCGGUGGCGAAGGCGGCUUUCUGGUCCGAUACUGACGCUGAGACGCGAAGGCUAGGGGAGCAAACAGG
rnacentral:rRNA from 1 species